AGCGAACGCUGGUGGCAGGCUUAACACAUGCAAGUCGAACGCACCUUUCGGGGUGAGUGGCGGACGGGUGAGUAACACGUGGGAACGUGCCCUCUAGUUCGGAAUAACCCAGGGAAACUUGGGCUAAUACCGGAUAAGCCCUUCGGGGGUAAGGAUUGAUCGCUAGAGGAUCGGCCCGCGUCUGAUUAGCUAGUUGGUAGGGUAAUGGCCUACCAAGGCGACGAUCAGUAGCUGGUCUGAGAGGAUGAUCAGCCACACUGGGACUGAGACACGGCCCAGACUCCUACGGGAGGCAGCAGUGGGGAAUAUUGGACAAUGGGCGGCAAGCCUGAUCCACGCCAUGCCGCGUGAGUGAUG
rnacentral:rRNA from 1 species